CAAAGUCUGUUCCCUGGAGAUCAGAGCUUUCAAAGACGGAUAUUUGGCAUGCCACUUUUGGAUUGAAUAUGUGGAAAAGAAGGUUCCUUUGCUAUAUUCAAGGUGGUCAGGUGGAUGGUAUGGGGAAGCGAUGCUCUGGUUCAAUGGAUAAAAACCCUCCAAAAGAGAUUUUGUGGAAAACUUUCUCCCACAGAUUGUUCUUUGGCCAUGAAUCCACACGUACAUGGGGAAGUGGAGGGGUUGCUUUCCUUCAUCCUGAAAGUAGUGUUGAUGAAAACACUUACAUGUGCAUGUACCAAAUAACGCUGGAACAAUUCAAUGAUGUUUUGUUUCAAGAAAAUGUUUCAAGUAAUGAGAUGGAUUCUCCAGCGUUUGAUUUGGCAGAUCUACAGUCCGUCACAAACCAAGGUUCUGUUUCUUUGGAGGUUUUUAAGAAGGGGUGGUACCA
rnacentral:misc_RNA from 1 species